CUUUAAUGUGAGGUAAAUUAGAGCUUAGUGCCACGAAUAAUAUACUAGAUUGCCUACUUACAACCAGAUGAGGAUGAUGAUGGGCUCUAGCUGCAGUCUGGCUCCACUGGUCUGGUGCAGAACAGGCUCUCUGGAGGCGGUUUGUAACUGUGGUCACAAAAAUCAAUGUUCUGGGAGAACAGGAAGCAGCUCCAUUUUUUGGGGGUCCUUUACACAGCUCAAGGUCUGGGUCCCAGGGUCCACCUUCAUGUUCCACCAAUGAGUUUGUUCACAGGGGGUGGAGUGUGUAGGGGAUGUCCUGAUAUGUGUGUAAGGAAUGCAUUGUGUGAAAUUGUGUUUGUAUGUGUAAGGACUGCAAGGUGUGUUUCUGUGUAUGUAUGGGA